GAGCCUACGGGACGCAGCAGUGGGGGAUAUUGCACAAUGGGGAGAACCCUGAUGCAGCGACGCCGCGUGGGCGAUGGAGUGCUUCGGCAUGUAAAUCCCUAUCAGCAGGGAAGAAAAUGACGGUACCUGACUAAGAAGCCCCGGCUAACUACGUGCCAGCAGCCGCGGUAAUACGUAGGGGGCAAGCGUUAUCCGGAUUUACUGGGUGUAAAGGGAGCGUAGACGGCAGAGCAAGUCUGAAGUGAAAGCCCGCGGCCCAACUGCGGGACUGCUUUGGAAACUGCCCGGCUAGAGGGCUGGGGAGG
rnacentral:rRNA from 1 species